rnacentral:rRNA from 1 species
AUUGAACGCUGGCGGCAUGCCUUACACAUGCAAGUCGAACGAGUGGCGGACGGGUGAGUAAUGUCUGGGAAACUGCCCGAUGGCGGGGGAUAACUACUGGAAACGGUAGCUAAUACCGCAUACUAUCGGAUGUGCCCAUAUGGGAUUAGCUAGUGGGUGGGGUAACGGCUCACCUAGGCGACGAUCCCUAGCUGGUCUGAGAGGAUGACCAGCAACACUGGGACUGAGACACGGUCCAGACUCCUACGGGAGGCAGCAGUGGGGAAUAUUGAACAAUGGGCGCAAGCCUGAUGCAGCCAUGCCGCGUGUAUGAAGAAGGCCUUCGGGUUGUAAAGUACUUUCAGCGGGGAGGCGUUACCCACAGAAGAAGCACCGGCUAACUCCGUGCCAGCAGCCGCGGUAAUUC